UAGUUCUAGGUUUGCUCAUCUGGCAGGCAUAAGGUAGCGGCGCAUAUAGCCUACAUUAGGCUGGUUUAUUUCACGCUAAAUACAAAUACGACAGCCCCGAGAAAGGACAGCGUUCAUUUCUUCAAAACCUCUGCUGGAUGUGAGCGUGUGUAUGAGGCCGCCGUGUCAGAUGCCUGCCAGAGGACCUCACCCCCUCUGGACCCCUCAGCACACACAGAAGCCUAGAAGUCUAGUGGAGGCCUGCCCAGAUGUGCUUGGUGUGGAGGAAGAAGGGACAUUAAAGCUUCACAGCAUUCAAAGG